rnacentral:misc_RNA from 1 species
GCUGCUUCAAGUUUCUCUUUUCCCACUUCAUCUUCUUCAUUCAUGACGACUUCUUUCACCGACCUUCUUGCUUCUGAUGAUUAUCCAACCAAAGGACUUGCUGAUAGAAUUGCAGAGAGGACUGGUUCUGGAGUUCCUAAAUUCAAAUCUCUUCCACCUCCUUCACUUCCAUUAUCGCCUCCUCCUUUUUCGCCUUCCUCUUACUUUGCUAUUCCUCCUGGU